AGUGAACGCUGGCGGCGUGCCUAGUACAUGCAAGUCGAACGGAGAUUAAGUAGCUUGCUAUUUAAUCUUAGUGGCGCACGGGUGAGUAAUAUAUAGCUAACUUGCCCAUUACUAAGGGACAACAGUUGGAAACGACUGCUAAUACCUUAUACUCCGUAUCUAUAUAAGUAGAUACGGGAAAGUUUUUCGGUAAUGGAUAGGGCUAUAUCGUAUCAGCUAGUUGGUAAGGUAAUGGCUUACCAAGGCUAUGACGCGUAACUGGUCUGAGAGGAUGAUCAGUCACACUGGAACUGAGACACGGUCCAGACUCCUACGGGAGGCAGCAGUAGGGAAUAUUGCUCAAUGGGGGAAACCCUGAAGCAGCAACGCCGCGUGGAGGAUGACACUUUUCGGAGCGUAAACUCCUUUUCUUGGGAAAGAAUUAUGACGGUACCCAAGGAAUAAGCACCGGCUAACUCCGUG
rnacentral:rRNA from 1 species